rnacentral:rRNA from 1 species
UACGGGGGGUGCGAGCGUUGUCCGGAAUCACUGGGCGUAAAGGGUGCGUAGGCGGGUCUUUAAGUCAGGGGUGAAAUCCUGGAGCUCAACUCCAGAACUGCCUUUGAUACUGAGGAUCUUGAGUUCGGGAGAGGUGAGUGGAACUGCGAGUGUAGAGGUGAAAUUCGUAGAUAUUCGCAAGAACACCAGUGGCGAAGGCGGCUCACUGGCCCGAUACUGACGCUGAGGUGCGAAAGCGUGGGGAGCAAACAGG